rnacentral:siRNA from 1 species
UCAGAGGUGAAAUUCUUGGA